GGGCAAGUCGCCACAAUCCGAACAACAAAGGUAUGUUCUUCAUCAUACAUUCCCCUUUCCUUUUUUAUGAUGCUUGGUUUUGUUUGGGUACAAAGAGAUUUUCAUACACUAAUUCGUCAUCUUAAUCUGGUUCUAAAUCCUGAAACAGUUCUGUUUUGUUUCCAAUUUGUCAACGAACAGAUGGAUUAUGGUUUCGAUUAUACAACAAUUAAACAGUCCCGAGGUCUGAGGCUGAGAACCUUUUUACUUAUUAGAAAAAGUUUAUAGGGGUUUCACUUCAUUUACAUACAAUUUCAUAAUUCCUAAUUCUUAAUUUUAAAAUAUCGUUGAAUCUCUUGUAUCUUAUCACUUGCACAGGUCAAGAUGGUGGCAAACGGAUAGGUCUUAUAUUUGUCUAGGUGAAGUAAAUUUCCAACACUUGUUUACUUUGAUGAUAUAAUUUCUAUAGAUGAGUUCAAUUUAUAAUUUUGGUUUUAUUUCGAGAUCUUUUUGAAUGGCAUUUUUUUCUGUAUAAAGUAAAAUCUGGAUGUAGUUUCUCCAACGGGUG
rnacentral:lncRNA from 1 species